GCCUCGGUAGCUCAGUUGGAUAGAGCAACGGUUUUCUAAACCGUGGGUCAGGGGUUCGAAUCCCUUCCGGGGUACUA
rnacentral:tRNA from 2 species